CAGUAGCCACGGUAAUACGGAGGGUGCAAGCGUUAAUCGGAAUUACUGGGCGUAAAGCGCACGCAGGCGGUCUGACAAGUCAGAUGUGAAAUCCCCGGGCUUAACCUGGGAACUGCAUUUGAAACUGUCAGGCUGGAGUCUUGUAGAGGGGGGUGGAAUUCCAGGUGUAGCGGUGAAAUGCGUAGAGAUCUGGAGGAAUACCGGUGGCGAAGGCGGCCCCCUGGACAAAGACUGACGCUCAGGUGCGAAAGCGUGGGGAGCAAACAGGAUUAGAUACCCGAGUAGUCCCUGUCUCUUAUAA
rnacentral:rRNA from 1 species